UACGGAGGAUUCAAGCGUUAUCCGGAUUUAUUGGGUUUAAAGGGUGCGUAGGCGGGCUGUUAAGUCAGCGGUCAAAUGUCGGGGCUCAACCCCGGCCCGCCGUUGAAACUGGCAGUCUCGAGUUGGAGAGAAGUAUGCGGAAUGCGCGGUGUAGCGGUGAAAUGCAUAGAUAUCACGCAGAACGCCGAUUGCGAAGGCAGCAUACCGGCGCCCAACUGACGCUGAGGCACGAAAGCGUGGGGAUCGAACAGG
rnacentral:rRNA from 1 species